UGGAUACUAUGGUGAAAUCCUAGUUCAGCAGAUUUAAGCUCUGAUGAACAAUCCGAAGUCUUUCACUCCCAUCUGAUGUAUCUG